GUUAGAUCAAGAGAUUUGAAUUUCUAAAGUUCAAGACAAGAAAACCUUUCCCGGGAAAAACAUGUUUUGAAGGAAUUUUGUUAUAUUUUGAAUUUUAUGCAAAUUAAAGGAGUUUUGGAAGUUAAGAUAAGAUUCAUAUAAAGGUUUAAACUAAACUCUCUACAACUAGAUAUCCAAUAUAUUCCCAAAUAGCAAAUUAUGUGAUACGACACUGUGCCAUUGGACAAGAUAUUUC
rnacentral:lncRNA from 1 species